UCGUCGCGCAUAACGCGUUUUAACUGUGGGAAAAGAAAACGAAAAAUUUUCUAAAAAAAGGAUAGUGUAGUUAAAAAACAAAAAUAAAUUCUUAUUAAACUAAACAACCAUUGUAAACUGUGUAAAGUCGUCGCGUAUUGAAAAAGAUUUACGUGCAAUUCGAUUCUUACACGACAACAAAGAAUUUUCACCCGUAGAGAAUUGGUCUUGUUCGUCAAUCCACAUACCACACCACGAAUAAGACUCGACCGACGUGACAAAUGGCGAGCCACAAUAGAUUGUGUUAAAUUGAAGAUAAAAUUUUGAGAAGAAAUCAAGUGCAACUUUCAGAUGAAGUGUUGUGAAUAUUAAAUCUAAACCAUUGAGGACGACGGAUUGUGAGCAAGAGUACACAAAUAUAAUUACAUUUUGUAUGAAGAAAAAAUACGUGGAAACAAUACAACGCCAAGGCGGAGUGGAAAGCAACAAAACGAUAAUUGAAAUACAUAAUACAGAAGAAAAUCUACAUUUAUUUUGUGAAGAACCUGAUUGUUUGUGUACGGGGUAGCUGUGUGAGUGUGAAAUUAAACAUCAAAAGCAAGCGAAUGAGCGAGCGAGCACACAUCCAUUAAACUAUGCUGGUUUUUGACGAAUUUUCGUCUCCUUUCUGCUUAUUGUGAUUACCCGUAGCCACUAUCAAUCGGUAGAACACGAUUACCGGGUAACGAUGCGUGACAAACCCAAACAUCUACAAUUUCUACCAUCUAAUGGUGUGGUGGGUCGGUGGGUGCAAUUACUUGUGGCCCUAAAAGGCGGUCGAAACCAAUGCCGAUAGUGUUUGUAAACACAGAGGUCUCAUACAGGGGAGGGGCACAUACGUAUAUGUUUGAAUCAUAUGAUUACUUAUCAUCCAGGACCAAGAACUACCCCGCCUGUCUACUCAUUAUGUUUGUCUCCUCCGGCAUAAAUUCUGCGGUAUGCUAAUGUCUACAGGGUGUGACAGUUGUCGAAAAAAUUAACCAAAUCUUUGGUAUAUAGAAGAAAAUUAAUGUAGAGAAAUUUAGUUUUAAAUAUACGACAUAUGUAAACUACAAUAGAAUUAA